GAUGAAGAACGUAGUGAAAUGCGAUAAGUAAUGUGAAUUGCAGAAUUCAGUGAAUCAUCGAAUCUUUGAACGCACAUUGCGCCCGCCAGUAUUCUGGCGGGCAUGCCUGUCUGAGCGUCAUUUCAACCCUCACGCCCCUAGGGCGUGGUGUUGGGGAUCGGCCAAAGCCCGCGAGGGACGGCCGGCCCCUAAAUCUAGUGGCGGACCCGUCGUGGCCUCCUCUGCGAAGUAGUGAUAUUCCGCAUCGGAGAGCGAUGAGCCCCUGCCGUUAAACCCCCAACUUUCCAAGGUUGACCUCAGAUCAGGUAGGAAUACCCGCUGAACUUAAGCAUAUCAAUAAGCGGAGGA
rnacentral:misc_RNA from 1 species